ACCGCCGUCGCUAGUGCGCAAGCUCAAAGCGAGGUUGGCACCCGCGGAGCUGGCUAGGAGAAGCAAGCACUGUUCAAAGCAACUUCCAUACAUGUGCUUUUCCCAACAACCCUAAGUCGAUGAGGAUUUUGAUGCUUACAUAAAUGAAGUAACUUACCAAAGCAUCUCCAGGCAAACACUGGCUCAUUUGAAGCUUUUACCUUCAAGCUUUCAAAGAAAAGAGCUGAGAUCUUUGAUGGCAAGACUCCAAGAUGGCCCCCGAUGAUCCUUACCCCUGAUGUUCAUGUCCUUGGACUCCUUCACUGUAAGCCUCACCUGUGUGACUAACAGGACAUUACAGAAGUGUUGAUAUAUGACUUCUUAAGCUAGCCACAAAGAGCUAGCCUUGUUCUCUUGGGCCACUUGCUAUGGGAGAAGCCAGCACAGUGUUAUAAGGACACACAAGCAGGCCUGUGGAGAAGUCCACAUGGGAAAGAGCUGAGGCCUCUCACCAACAGCCAGCACUGUUCUGGUGAUAAAAGUGAGCUACCUUGGAAGUGGAUCCUCCAGUUCCGGACAAGCCUUCAGGUGACUGUGGCCUUGCCUGACAUCUGACCCUAACCUCGUAAGAAACUCCAGGCCAGAUCACCAAGCUAAGUGCUACCAAACUCUUAGCUCACAGAAACUAUGAGAGAGAACCAAUGUUUCUGUUGUCUUAAGGCAUUGAGUUUUGGGGCAAUUUGUUACACAGCUCUGGAUAAACUGGAUUUCUUUAAAAGCUACACCAUAUAGAUUAUGGGUGAUCUUAACCAAAUACAGAUAGGUGUUAGGGACUUAAACGAACAUUUCAAGUAAUUGUUUAUUGUUUCUGCUUUCCACCAAGGAAAUUCAAUUUCAAGUCAACAUUCUGUGAAGCUUUGUACAAUAUAGCUUUUGAAAUGC